GCACGCGCGCUGCUCCUCGGGGCCGUUCUCCAGGUCUGGGCCUGGACUCUGGCUCCUGGGCCCCGUGGUGCUGCUCUCUAAAGUGAAAGUGAAAUGAGGAAAGGCGGCCAAGGGGUCUGUCGGAGAAGGGUAAUUAGCAUCUGUGUCAAGGUUUACACGACGGCUCCACCACCGUCAGGCCUGCUCAACCGACUGGAGGGAAGCUACGGAGACUGACGUUGAGGAGGAAGAGGAUAUCCCUCCUGAUUCUUCAGAGAUGGGAUGGAGAACUCGUUCCAUAUCCUUGGGUGUUCUCUAGUGAGAGGACCUAAAACUGCUGGAUUUCUCACUUGGUUUUCAGUUGUGGUCAGAACACUUGAUAUAUCCUUUCCCCGUCUGAGGGGAAAAACCCAACAUUCUCGCCUGCACACAUUGUCAGACUGAUGAGGCCACAACUGACAUACACGCUUGAAGGAGAAAGUGCUCUAUUGUGCCUUGUUUUCUCUUUUGAAUUACAUCCUCCUGAGACUGUGGCUGACCCCUUAGGCCCAUGGCGGUCCUGAGUGUGAUUGACAUGCGUGAUUAGCAGGCUAGUGAGAGAGAACCAGGGAAAUUGCUGUCAAAACAAUUACAUACAGGGACAUCAGAACAAUGGCUUGAGAGCCCCCAGGGGCUUAGAGACCAUCCUAGUUCUGCCACGGGUGCCCUCUGGGACCUUGGCCAAGUCAGAGCAUCUCUCUGUGCCUUCGUUUCUUUCUGUGAUGCAGACAGGAUCAAAUUCAUCAUGGACCUCUGGACAUUUCACCCAGAACCCUAGGC